rnacentral:rRNA from 1 species
GUCCAGACUCCUACGGGAGGCAGCAGUGGGGAAUAUUGCACAAUGGGGGAAACCCUGAUGCAGCGACGCCGCGUGAGCGAUGAAGUCUUUCGGUAUGUAAAGCUCUAUCAGCAGGGAAGAAAAUGACGGUACCUGACUAAGAAGCCCCGGCUAACUACGUGCCAGCAGCCGCGGUAAUACGUAGGGGGCGAGCGUUAUCCGGAUUCACUGGGUGUAAAGGGGGCGUAGACGGCCAUGCAAGCCAGGGGUGAAAGCCCGGGGCCCAACCCCGGGACUGCCCUUGGAACUGCAUGGCUGGAGUGCGGGAGGGGCAGGCGGAAUUCCUGGUGUAGCGGUGAAAUGCGUAGAUAUUAGGAGGAACACCGGUGGCGAAGGCGGCCUGCUGGACUGUAACUGACGUUGAGGCUCGAAAGCGUGGGGAGCAAACAGGAUUAGAUACCCGAGUAC